GACGAAGAAGAAAUGAGAAAUAGAGACGGAAUAGGAGAAGGAUCCAAGGUGUAAUAUUUAGAUAUACCUACAGACGACCCCUGCACGGAACAGCAACGACUUGUGUGCCACAGACAGUCAGUUCUCCUACUGCUGUGUCAAUGGUAUCCCAAAGCAGCGCAUGUGUGACGGCUUCAGUGACUACUGCAGUAACGGAGAGGAAUUUGUGCAGCUGUGUGGCAUUGACGAGUGCCGGGAGAUGAAUGGCGGGUGUGAGCACCUGUGCGCCAACACUAGAGGGUCAUACUACUGCCAGUGCUGGCCAGGAUUCAGACUUGUCAAGAAGUUUAACUGUGAAGACAUUGAAGAGUGCAUGGAGUCGCCCGGAUCCUCUCCCUGUGGACCAUCCCAUCAGAAGAGUUCGGUCCGCCCAACAGCAGCAACGGUCAGGAGAAGGUCAUUGAACUGUCAAGUCCCCCUAGCUGGCAUGGUGCUGGGUGUUGUGCUGGGCUACUUUGGGGUUCUUUGCCUAGCUGUUGGGAUGUUUGUCGGGUUCCUGAAGAUGCGUCGACGUGUUAUCAUCCACACAAGCUUCUUCAACCCACCCAGUGUACCACAAGACAACAGGCAUUGAGGAGGACGCGAACGAGUGGCUGCAUAUACCAUUGAAUAGGACGGCAUUAUAUUCGUCCCACAGGAGUGUCUACAGCGAAGCAAGCCCAGAAUGAAGUGUUGAGUGACCAUGAUUAUUCAGUACUACUAACACCAAAGAAGUGAGGGAAGUGUUUGGAGUGAGUGUGCAAGACAUACAACAGACUCCAGACUCUUACUGCCGAUGUAUCCAAAGGAACAAGAGGAGGAGGAAGAGGAGGAAAAAGAGGGUGAUUCUUGGAGACCUACCUAUGAAGUUCUGAAGUUUUAAAGCAGCGCCAUUCACCAAGCUCCAACCAGCAAGACAAGCUGUGCAGGCCAUCACCAUAACCUUCCACACUUCCUCAUCUUUGUCUUUUAAAGACAUACAGACGACCCCCGCACUGAAGAGCAACGACACGUGUACCUAAGACAGUCAGUUCUACGGCGGUGGCAAUAACAUCCCGAAGCAGCGCAUGUGUGACGACAUCAAUGACUGCAGUAACAGAGAGAGUGAGUUUGUGCAGCUGUGUGGCAUUGACAGGUGCCGUGAGAAGAAUGGUGGGUGUGAGCACCUGUGCGCCAACACUCAAGGGUCAUACUACUGCCAGUGCCAGCCAGGAUACAACAGACUUUUCAACAUUGACGAAUGUGUGGAGUCGCCCAGAUCCUCUCCCUGUGGACCAUCCCCUCAGCAGCAGCAACGGUCAGAAGACGGUCGUUGAAGUGUCAAGUCUCCCAAGCUGGCAUGGUGCUGGGUCUUGUGCUGGGCUCCCUCGGGAUUCUUUGCCUAGCUGUCUGGGAGAGUUAACUACUUUUUAACUCCUUUAUGCUGUAGAGUCUUGCUGUGGAUGUACUGUGGCUAAGACGGCGUAAUUAAGUUGUAGAUGAGAUUUUACCAAACUAUAAACACUUCCUUAAUUGUUCUUGACACACUGAGAAUAUUUCAAUACUGUAUGGUUAGCCGACUCAUACUUAUUAUUUUUUUAUUAUUAUUAUUAUUUUUUUUUUUUUCAUCAUACCUGCAACGUUUUCACUCUAGAGAUGUUUGUCAGGUUCCUGAAGAUGCAUCGACGUGUUGCCAUCCGCACACGCUUCCCCAAUCCAGUGUACCAUAAUACAACAGGCAUUGAGGAGGACAGGAGCGUCUGCACCAUUGAACAGGACGGCAUUACAUUCGUCCUACAGGAGUAUGACUACAGGAUUCAGUAUAGUACUAACACCAAAGAAGUGAGGGAAGUGUCUCGAGUGAGUGUGCAAUACAUAAGACUGCUACUGCCGGUGUAGCGAAAGGAACAAGAGGAGGAGGAAGAAGAGAAUGAUUCUUGGAGACGUACCAAUGAAGUUCUGAAGGUAGAAAAUAUUGUCAGGAGCUCUCUACACAAUAUCUGGUGGUGGUGACACAGGAAGCAGGGAGGAAGAGGUGACAAAUUAGACAAACACAAGACAGACAGGUCAAGGAAAGAAGUAAACACUAAGGAAUUAACAGUGUGUUGUGGGAUACUCGUUACUUGCAUCAAAGUGCCUCCCUAGACCUUAGAGUGCAUCACUAGUUUUCUCAUCUGAAAUAUGACCAAGAACAAAACUCUUAAAC
rnacentral:lncRNA from 1 species